UACGUAGGGUGCAAGCGUUAAUCGGAAUUACUGGGCGUAAAGCGCACGUAGUCGGCUUUGCAAGUCGGGUGUGAAAUCCCCGGGCUCAACCUGGGAACUGCAUCCGAGACUGCCUUGCUAGAGUAUGGGAGAGGGAAGUGGAAUUUCCGGUGUAGCGGUGAAAUGCGUAGAUAUCGGAAGGAACACCAGUGGCGAAGGCGACUCUCUGGUCUGUAACUGACGCUGAGGCGCGAAAGCGUGGGGAGCAAACAGG
rnacentral:rRNA from 1 species